CCUGCCCAAAGGGAAAGUCCAGGGAUGGUGUUGAAAUUCCGUUCUGAGCUAGAGGGCUGUUUUAACAGAGAAAGGAAUCUAUAAUUGGCAAGAAAGACCAAGCUUAAUGUCAAAGCCGUUUGAUAAGUCUGAGAUCACAGAAUGUCUAGGCCAAGACUUAGUCAGAAUGAAACAUGUUUCUGGAGAACAGGAAGCAAGGCCACAUGCUGAGCAGGAGGAGCCAGCACAGGGUGGAGUAGUGAAGGGCCACUCUGCCGCAGCCGCGUCUCAAUGGUUUUGGAGUUAGGACCAUCCUGGAUAUAGCUGAGAUGCUGAGUGUGGCCAAGAG
rnacentral:lncRNA from 1 species